rnacentral:lncRNA from 1 species
GGGUGGUCUCGAAAAGACCGACUGGUCCAAAGCCCCAUUCAUAGCCGCAUACAAGAGCUUCCACAUCGACGGGUGCGAGUCGUCGGUGGAAGCCAAGUUCUGCGCCACACAGGGAAAGCGGUGGUGGGACGAAAAGGCAUUCCAGGACCUCGACGCCUAUCAGUGGCGCAGACUGCGUUGGGUCCGCAACAAGUUCACUAUUUACAACUAUUGCAGCGAUAGGGUGAGGUACCCCACAAUGUCGCCCGAGUGCAAGAGAGACAGAGACGCUUGAGUCAUUUCCAUCACCACCGAGUCCAAGUUCCCCAUCAAUUGCUUGUUGGCCUACCAUAUGAGAUCCGUCAUUGUCCUUUAGAUUUCAAUUGCUUGUUGGCCUUCACUUAUUUCCACAUCAAUUUCAUUAUAUGUAAUUUUACUCCUAAAACAUUUGUUUUCGUGAUAAUAUUAUUUAAACAUAGAUUACAAUCUCUUGACAGGGGACAAGAGCAUUAUCUUGUAAGUAUAAGUAUAAGAAGCUUGGAUUCGAUUUCAAGAACUAAAAGUCUAUUUAA